rnacentral:rRNA from 2 species
CCCUUUGGGUGUGACUGCGUACCUUUUGUAUAAUGGGUCAGCGACUUAUAUUCUGUAGCAAGGUUAACCGAAUAGGGGAGCCGGAGGGAAACCGAGUCUUAACCGGGCGUUAAGUUGCAGGGUAUAGACCCGAAACCCGGUGAUCUAGCCAUGGGCAGGUUGAAGGUUGGGUAACACUAACUGGAGGACCGAACCGACUAAUGUUGAAAAAUUAGCGGAUGACCUGUGGCUGGGGGUGAAAGGCCAAUCAAACCGGGAGAUAGCUGGUUCUCCCCGAAAGCUAUUUAGGUAGCGCCUCGUGAAUUCAUCUCCGGGGGUAGAGCACUGUUUCGGCUAGGGGGCCAUCCCGGCUUACCAACCCGAUGCAAACUGCGAAUACCGGAGAAUGUUAUCACGGGAGACACACGGCGGGUGCUAACGUCCGUCGUGAAGAGGGAAACAACCCAGACCGCCAGCUAAGGUCCCAAAGUCAUGGUUAAGUGGGAAACGAUGUGGGAAGGCCCAGACAGCCAGGAUGUUGGCUUAGAAGCAGCCAUCAUUUAAAGAAAGCGUAAUAGCUCACUGGUCGAGUCGGCCUGCGCGGAAGAUGUAACGGGGCUAAACCAUGCACCGAAGCUGCGGCAGCGACACUGUGUGUUGUUGGGUAGGGGAGCGUUCUGUAAGCCUGUGAAGGUGUGUCGUGAGGCAUGCUGGAGGUAUCAGAAGUGCGAAUGCUGACAUAAGUAACGAUAAAGCGGGUGAAAAGCCCGCUCGCCGGAAGACCAAGGGUUCCUGUCCAACGUUAAUCGGGGCAGGGUGAGUCGACCCCUAAGGCGAGGCCGAAAGGCGUAGUCGAUGGGAAACGGGUUAAUAUUCCCGUACUUGGUGUUACUGCGAAGGGGGGACGGAGAAGGCUAUGUUGGCCGGGCGACGGUUGUCCCGGUUUAAGCGUGUAGGUGUGUGUUCCAGGUAAAUCCGGUUCACUUUAACACUGAGGCGUGACGACGAGGCACUACGGUGCUGAAGCAACAAAUGCCCUGCUUCCAGGAAAAGCCUCUAAGCAUCAGGUAACAUCAAAUCGUACCCCAAACCGACACAGGUGGUCAGGUAGAGAAUACCAAGGCGCUUGAGAGAACUCGGGUGAAGGAACUAGGCAAAAUGGUGCCGUAACUUCGGGAGAAGGCACGCUGACACGUAGGUGAAGUGAUUUACUCAUGGAGCUGAAGUCAGUCGAAGAUACCAGCUGGCUGCAACUGUUUAUUAAAAACACAGCACUGUGCAAACACGAAAGUGGACGUAUACGGUGUGACGCCUGCCCGGUGCCGGAAGGUUAAUUGAUGGGGUCAGCGCAAGCGAAGCUCCUGAUCGAAGCCCCGGUAAACGGCGGCCGUAACUAUAACGGUCCUAAGGUAGCGAAAUUCCUUGUCGGGUAAGUUCCGACCUGCACGAAUGGCGUAAUGAUGGCCAGGCUGUCUCCACCCGAGACUCAGUGAAAUUGAACUCGCUGUGAAGAUGCAGUGUACCCGCGGCAAGACGGAAAGACCCCGUGAACCUUUACUAUAGCUUGACACUGAACAUUGAGCCUUGAUGUGUAGGAUAGGUGGGAGGCUUUGAAGUGUGGACGCCAGUCUGCAUGGAGCCGACCUUGAAAUACCACCCUUUAAUGUUUGAUGUUCUAACGUGGACCCGUUACCCGGGUUGCGGACAGUGUCUGGUGGGUAGUUUGACUGGGGCGGUCUCCUCCUAAAGAGUAACGGAGGAGCACGAAGGUUGGCUAAUCCUGGUCGGACAUCAGGAGGUUAGUGCAAUGGCAUAAGCCAGCUUGACUGCGAGCGUGACGGCGCGAGCAGGUGCGAAAGCAGGUCAUAGUGAUCCGGUGGUUCUGAAUGGAAGGGCCAUCGCUCAACGGAUAAAAGGUACUCCGGGGAUAACAGGCUGAUACCGCCCAAGAGUUCAUAUCGACGGCGGUGUUUGGCACCUCGAUGUCGGCUCAUCACAUCCUGGGGCUGAAGUAGGUCCCAAGGGUAUGGCUGUUCGCCAUUUAAAGUGGUACGCGAGCUGGGUUUAGAACGUCGUGAGACAGUUCGGUCCCUAUCUGCCGUGGGCGCUGGAGAACUGAGGGGGGCUGCUCCUAGUACGAGAGGACCGGAGUGGACGCAUCACUGGUGUUCGGGUUGUCAUGCCAAUGGCACUGCCCGGUAGCUAAAUGCGGAAGAGAUAAGUGCUGAAAGCAUCUAAGCACGAAACUUGCCCCGAGAUGAGUUCUCCCUGAGACUUAGAGUCUCCUGAAGGAACGUUGAAGACGACGACGUUGAUAGGCCGGGUGUGUAAGCGCAGCGAUGCGUUGAGCUAACCGGUACUAAUGAACCGUGAGGCUUAACCUUACAACGCCGAAG